rnacentral:rRNA from 1 species
AACGAACGCUGGCGGCAUGCCUAACACAUGCAAGUCGAACGAGACCUUCGGGUCUAGUGGCGCACGGGUGCGUAACGCGUGGGAACCUGCCCUUAGGUUCGGAAUAACUCUCCGACAGGGGUGCUAAUACCGGAUAAUGUCUUCGGACCAAAGAUUUAUCGCCUUUGGAUGGGCCCGCGUUGGAUUAGCUAGUUGGUAGGGUAAAAGCCUACUAAGGCGAGGAUCCAUAGCUGGUCAGAGAGGAUGAUCAGCAACACUGGGACGGGGACACGGCCCAGACUCCUACGGGAGGCAGCAGUGGGGAAUAUUGGACAAUGGGCGAAAGCCUGAUCCAGCAAUGCCGCGUGAGUGAUGAAGGCCUUAGGGUUGUAAAGCUCUUUUACCCGGGAUGAUAAUGACAGUACCGGGAGAAUAAGCUCCGGCUAACUCCGUG